GACGAAAAAGGAAAAGUCAAAAGCUUUCCAAUCCUUUUCUCAUCACAUUCACGGAGAAAACCAAAAGGGAAGAAAGGCAUACAAAGGAAAAGUCAAAAAGAAAACAAGCCUAAGCUACUGAACGGAAAUUUCUAUCUAAAUCCUAUUCCAAUGCUCUCCUUGCGCGGCGGCCCCCUUCCGGAGAGGAAGAAGAAGACUCCCACUUCAGCCCUUCGUUCCUCAUUUUAAUGCUGCUCUCUGCAAAUUACUAAAAAGGACUUGUAUCUCCUUGUUCCAAAAAUGUCCUGGAUGCCUGCUACUUGAACUCUUUCCUGAUAACUGUUAAAUCGGCACUUAUUAUGGUAUUUUCGUUCUACUCCCUGAAAUAUAAGUAAAAUACUAAAAGUGAGUAGAAUCUAACAAUUAAUCCAAAUUGGGCCAGGUAAUAGGAGAAAUUAAUAAUAAAAUAAAUGAUAAAAUCGCAACCUAUCAACUAUAACCAACGUUUUAAAACUCAGACCAUUAAUUGAACCAAUGAGGUGUUCGGGUCAAGAUUCAAUCGGUCGGAUCGAUUCAACCCUGGUUCAAUGAAUUUUUUUAAAAAUAAUUUAUAUAAAUAUAUAUGCACAAAAUAAGACAUGCAUUGGACUAAUUGAAGACUUUAUAUGAUGAAAAAAUUAAUAUUUUCAAAGAAGUUGGAUUUUCACAAAUAAAUUUUUUAAAUUAUAAGUUAAAACAAAUAAAUUUCAUCUCAAUCUUAAUUGAAUUUACCAAAAAAAUAAUGUUAAAUAAAACUCAAAAAUUUUGGUAUUUAGAUAUUGCAACUUAAGAAAAAAAGAAGUUUUGAAUUUGGAGGAAGUCAAGAAAAUAGAAAAUAAAAAUACAAGCUUGAUAAAAGGCAAAAAAUAAGAAGAAAGUGAGUGAAUGUAGCAUUUAAUAAUUAGUUUUUAGGGUUAAGGAAAACAUAUUUUUUUAGAAAAAAACAAAAAACCCGCCGGUUCAACAGUUCAAUCCAGUUUUUAAGUAUAAUUAACCUAAAGCAUGAACUGGACCAGAGUCAAGGCUGAUUCGCGAUCCGAUCGAUCGAACCGGUUGGUCCGGUCCAAUUUUUAAAACACUGACUAU
rnacentral:lncRNA from 1 species